rnacentral:rRNA from 1 species
UGAUUGGGCGUAAGGGUCCGCAGGUGGCAUUGUAAGUCUGCUGUUAAAGAGUUUGGCUCAACCAAAUAAGAGCAUUGGAAACUACAAAGCUAGAGUAUGGUCGGGGCAGAGGGAAUUCCUGGUGUAGCGGUGAAAUGCGUAGAUAUCAGGAAGAACACCGGUGGCGAAGGCGCUCUGCUAGGCCAAAACUGACACUGAGGGACGAAAGCUAGGGGAGCGAAUGGGAUUAGAUACCCCAGUAGUCCUAGCCGUAAACGAUGGAUACUAGGCGUAGCUCGUAUCGACCCGAGCUGUGCCGUAGCUAACGCGUUAAGUAUCCCGCCUGGGGAGUACGCAGGCAACUGUGAAACUCA